rnacentral:rRNA from 1 species
GAUGAACGCUAGCUACAGGCUUAACACAUGCAAGUCGAGGGGCAGCAUGAUUGAAGCUUGCUUCAAUCGAUGGCGACCGGCGCACGGGUGAGUAACACGUAUCCAACCUGCCGAUAACUCGGGGAUAGCCUUUCGAAAGAAAGAUUAAUACCCGAUAGUAUAGUAUUUCCGCAUGGUUUCACUAUUAAAGAACUUCGGUUAUCGAUGGGGAUGCGUUCCAUUAGAUAGUUGGCGGGGUAACGGCCCACCAAGUCAACGAUGGAUAGGGGUUCUGAGAGGAAGGUCCCCCACAUUGGAACUGAGACACGGUCCAAACUCCUACGGGAGGCAGCAGUGAGGAAUAUUGGUCACUGGACGAGAGUCUGAACCAGCCAAGUAGCGUGAAGGAUGACUGCCCUAUGGGUUGUAAACUUCUUUUAUACGGGAAUAAAGUGGAGUAUGCAUACUCCUUUGUAUGUACCGUAUGAAUAAGGAUCGGCUAACUCCGUG